CCUCUCUCUCGCCAGCUGCUGUUUCAUCACUCCUCUCUCCCCCCCUCCCGUAUUAGCUUCUCUCCCCGUGCCCGUCUUUGGGAAGCCUCUCCCACUUGCGCUAAAGGAGAUCUCCAGUGAGCUCUGGUCAAGUGUAGAUAGUCUCUUGGUCUAUCCAAGGCCGUGAUCAAGUGUCUUGAUGAUUUUGGUCUUUUGGCCUCGAGAUGAAAACCUUGUCUUUGUUUCUGGGACCUUGAAGUGAAAAAAUUCUUGGAGCUUUAUCCCCACUGUAGGCUGUGCCCAGCCAGCAGACGGUGACAUCCUCUUCCCCCCCCCCGUCCCCCGCAACUCCUGCCUUGCAGCAUGUCCCUGAUGCGCUACUCUCUCCUGCAGGACAACCAUCAGCAAAAGAGAGUGAAGAGGGAAGGCCAGAAACCACAGCCAGCCAGACGCACAAGGGAAACCACUGGGAAUCACGGCUCUGAGUCCAUCUUAGGCAUGAUCCACCUUGAGGAAUUCAUCACGCUCGCCACCCCCGUGCUCGACUGUCCCAGCUGCCAGGGAUCUGUAGCCACCAGCCAGGACGGGCGCUCUGGGGAUCCUGAGCCCCAGGACCAGGAGAGAAGACGAAAGGCCCACGGCGGCGAAGCGCAAAGCCAAGCAGAGAGCGAGAGACUGACUCUACGGUGCUGGCUGUGAUUCCAGCGUCACACUGCAGGACCAGACGGCCCCCUUGAGAGAGGCAGCAGACGGAGGAUCAAGGGAGAUUAGCUACUGCACCCACCUGAGGUGGAGUCCUCCCAGGCCACACUUCCCUUGUGUAGCUAGACAGCAGCCCAGGCUGGAGUCUGGUAUCUCCCCCUCCCCUCCACGCCCCUGAGAUCAGUUACAUGGAAUCUGGAUC
rnacentral:lncRNA from 1 species